rnacentral:rRNA from 1 species
UACGAAGGGGGCUAGCGUUGCUCGGAAUCACUGGGCGUAAAGGGCGCGUAGGCGGCGUUUUAAGUCGGGGGUGAAAGCCUGUGGCUCAACCACAGAAUGGCCUUCGAUACCGGGACGCUUGAGUAUGGUAGAGGUUGGUGGAACUGCGAGUGUAGAGGUGAAAUUCGUAGAUAUUCGCAAGAACACCGGUGGCGAAGGCGGCCAACUGGACCAUUACUGACGCUGAGGCGCGAAAGCGUGGGGAGCAAACAGG